AUUGAACGCUGGCGGCAGGCCUAACACAUGCAAGUCGAACGAGUGGCGGGCGGGUGAGUAAUGUCUGGGAAACUGCCUGCUGGUGGGGGAUACCUACUGGAAACGGUAGCUAAUACCGCAUACCAUCAGAUGUUCCCCGAUGGGAUUAGCUUGUUGGUGGGGUAACGGAUAACCAGGGCGACGAUCCCUAGCUGGUCUGCGAGGAUGACGAUCGAGACUUGAAUGGAGACAAGGUGUAUACUCCUCCGGCAGGUAGCAGUGGGGAAUAUGGCACAAAUGGCGCAAUGCUGAUGGAGCUGUGGCAGGGGUAUGAAGAGGGCCUUGGGGUUGUAAGGGAUUUUCAGCGGGGAGGCGUUACGCGAAGAAGAAGCACCGGCUAACUCCGUGCCAGCAGCCGCGGUAAUAC
rnacentral:rRNA from 1 species